AAUAUACUGACAGUUACUCUAUAUUUCCCUAGAUUGCUAUCGAGUCAUUAUGGAAGUGGCAUCCAUUGAUUUGGGAGGAGACCAACCAAAUUAUAUUGAUGAGGUAAUGUGACCCUUCUUUGUCUAAGAUAUAACUGUUGUUCUGUUCCUUUUAAUUCAAAUUCAUGCAUGAAAAUAUGACAUUGUUCAUUAUAAGUGACUCAUAGGUGGUGGAAUUACAACUAUACAUCUAUUCCCUGUGAGAAUGAUUCAAGAUGACAUUCACAUAUGACAACAACCAUUGUCAAAUGAUUGUAGUGAGCAUUUUCUUCAAUGGCAUUUUUCCUUGGUAGAAAAAGAAUUUUGUGCAUGUCAUCAAAUUGUACCUGAGAAAUCCCUCAUGCAAAGCUCACGUCUUUUCACAAGUGCCUCUCUGCCUUACUUUGUGAUCUUUGCCCCAACUGCUGUUUCCCAUCUAAUUAUCUAAUGUCACCACAGACAACAGUAGACUUGUGCAAAUGAUCUCCUGCUCACACUGUCUUCCUUUCUGUAACUACAGGUAGCCUCUGCAGCAAAUGAGAAAAGUAAGUAUUCUCAACUCCCUAACAUGCUGAGGAAAAUCUCUGUACUUAGAUAGGUCAGACAUUCCUUCCUGUUUCUAUGGAAAAUGUUACCCUGAAUUCAGAUUUCUUUGGGAAAUGAGGAUUGGGAUGUGGUGACAAAGUGAUAAUCCAGUGAAGGAUUAUGGCCAUCUGCCACGAUCCUGAAACAGCUGUCUUUUUGGUGCAUUUAUGUGAAUGAGCGUGGGGAGGUAUUUAUGUGAAUGAGCAUGGGGAGGUAUCUCUGAGCAUGCCCAUGUGUAAUAAUUGUGUAUGUGUUUGUGAGGCUGUGGGAGCUUCUUCAGAAAUUCUCUUCUAACAUGCCUAGCACAAGCGUCCAUUUUUUAAAAAUAAAAUCUACACUAAUGCAUGAUUCAUUUUAUAUAAUUCCUUCCCACUUCAUGACACCCAAGUCUAAAGUUUUGGUUACUAGGCCCUCUGUAGAUAGAGAUAAUGCUGAGCCAAAAGAUCCAGGUUCUUCACUCUGUAAGUGAAAAAAGCAUUAAGAAUCAGGAAAUUGUCCUUAUGGUGAUGCUUUGGGAUAGGGAACUGUAUACCUCACCCAGCGAUAUAUCACACUCCAGGUUAUUACAAUAUAUUAGUGUACUAAUAUCUCCUAUGUGAAAUAUUUUGCAUACUUUCAAAGUGGCCUCAGUGGUCAUCUCUAGAGACAAACAUACCCCUAAGGGUACAAAAUAUGAAACACACAUAUCACACCUGGUUCCAGUCUAGCUAGAAACCCAAAUACUGUGCUUCUCAUUCAUUCUUGUACUUCUCUUUGCUGUAUAUUUUCACUGCUUUCCAUAUCAAGAAAUGCCCUGAACAAUUCAUAAGCAAUAAAUCAGUAUACUAAUAGUCAUUCUGCAUCCUCCUAGUUCCCCCAAAUGGCAUGGUGGAG
rnacentral:lncRNA from 1 species